UACGUAGGGUCCAAGCGUUAAUCGGAAUUACUGGGCGUAAAGCGUGCGCAGGCGGUUUUGUAAGCCAGAUGUGAAAGCCCCGGGCUCAACCUGGGAACUGCAUUUGGGACUGCAAGGCUUGAGUACAGCAGAGGGGGGUAGAAUUCCUGGUGUAGCAGUGAAAUGCGUAGAUAUCAGGAGGAAUACCGAUGGCGAAGGCAGCCCCCUGGGUUGAUACUGACGCUCAUGCACGAAAGCGUGGGGAGCAAACAGG
rnacentral:rRNA from 1 species